rnacentral:snRNA from 1 species
GAACCUCAAAGCGGCUCU